UGGGGAAUAUUGGACAAUGGGCGCAAGCCUGAUCCAGCCAUGCCGCGUGAGUGACGAAGGCCUUAGGGUUGUAAAGCUCUUUUGGCGGGGAAGAUAAUGACGGUACCCGCAGAAUAAGCUCCGGCUAACUUCGUGCCAGCAGCCGCGGUAAUACGAAGGGAGCUAGCGUUGUUCGGAAUCACUGGGCGUAAAGCGCACGUAGGUGGGCAGUUAAGUCAGGGGUGAAAGCCCGAGGCUCAACCUCGGAAUUGCCUCUGAUACUGGCUGUCUAGAGUUCGAGAGAGGUGAGUGGAAUUCCUAGUGUAGAGGUGAAAUUCGUAGAUAUUAGGAAGAACACCGGUGGCGAAGGCGGCUCACUGGCUCGAUACUGACGCUGAGGUGCGAAAGCGUGGGGAGCAAACAGGAUUAGAUACCCAUGUAGUCCCUGAGCGGGCUGGCAAGGCGCAU
rnacentral:rRNA from 1 species